AUUGGCCAUCUGAGUGUUGAGCAGAAUUCGAGGGCAAAAGACUCGCACGGAAAAGGGGCCGAAGGGACUUCUGUUGCCAACAUGGUGAACCAGAAGAACUUCAACUCCCACAAGCCCAAGGGAAAGAACGGUGUCCAACACAAUACCGACUUUAAGAAGAAGGGUAAGAAGACCUUCAAGAAGAACAAGAAGGACGAGGGCUGCUUUACUUGUUGUUCGGUUGAACAUUGGGCCAACAAGUGCCCAAACAAGUACAAGAAGUCAGGACAGGACUCCAAGUCUGUCAACAUGAUUGUGGGCAACAAUGAGAAUGGUGCAUCUGGGUCACAGGUCACGGGUCCGUAUUGA
rnacentral:rRNA from 1 species